rnacentral:sRNA from 1 species
AGGCUGUCACCCUCUCUCCAGAGCCAGGAGAGGUGCUGCGCCUCAUCCCAGGGACACUCCGUCCUCUUGGCCUAGGGGAGCUUCCCGAGGCCGCGGCCCUCGGCUGAGAACCUCGUGUCCCCUGCAGUAUGAGGCCGUCAUGGACCGGGUCCAGAAGAGCAAGCUGUCACUCUACAAGAAGGCCAUGGAGUCCAAGAAGACAUACGAGCAGAAGUGUCGGGACGCGGAUGACGCCGAGCAGGCCUUCGAGCGCAUUAGCGCCAACGGCCACCAGAAGCAGGUGGAGAAGAGUCAGAACAAAGCCAGGCAGUGCAAGGACUCGGCCACCGAGGCAGAGCGGGUAUACAGGCAGAGCAUCGCGCAGCUGGAGAAGGUCCGGGUCGAGUGGGAGCAGGAGCACCGGACCACCUGUGAGGCCUUUCAGCUGCAAGAGUUUGACCGGCUGACCAUUCUCCGCAACGCCCUGUGGGUGCACAGCAACCAGCUCUCCAUGCAGUGUGUCAAGGAUGAUGAGGUGGGGGCUGAGGGCCUUGGUGGGGUAAGGGAGGGCAGCCUCUAGG